rnacentral:rRNA from 1 species
GAUAAACGCUGGCGGCGUGCCUAACACAUGCAAGUCGAACGCCCUUUUGCGCAAGUGAGAGGGAGUGGCGGACGGGUGAGUACCACGUGGGUACCUACCUUGGGGUGAGGAAUACCACCGAGAAAUCGGUGACAAGACCGCAUACGCUCGGGCAACCGAGCAAAGUCAUGCAAAUGACGCCACAAGAUGAGCCUGCGCCUGAUUAGCUGGUUGGUGAGGUAACAGCUCACCAAGGCGACGAUCAGUAGCUGGUCUGAGAGGAUGAUCAGCCACACUGGGAUUGAGAACGGCCCAGACUCC